AUUUCCAAAACUACCGAGACUUUUUCUUCCGGCUCUAUCACUUCCACUAAUUUCAG
rnacentral:sRNA from 1 species